AGAAUCAACGCUGGCGGCGUGCCUAACACAUGCAAGUCGCACGAGAAAAGGACUUCGGUCCUGAGUACAGUGGCGCACGGGUGAGUAACACGUGAAUCAUCUACCUCCGAGUGGGGAAUAACCUAGAGAAAUCUGGGCUAAUACCGCAUAACACUUACGAGUCAAAGCAGCAAUGCGCUUGGAGAGGAGUUCGCGGCAGAUUAGUUAGUUGGCGGGGUAAUGGCCCACCAAGACGAUGAUCUGUA
rnacentral:rRNA from 1 species